rnacentral:lncRNA from 1 species
UUUUUUCUUGUAGAAUUCACUUAUCUUUAUGUUUUUUUUUUCUGAUCCUUAUUCUAUAUACAAUUGUACUUAAGAUAGUGAAUAUUUGUCACCAGCAAGAUGUUGUCGGGUAGGAUGUCCUCAAGACCCUCAUCUUUCAUAUCUUUCACCUAUCAUGGAAGAUGUCCUCAAUAACUAUCAAAGGCCUAGGACACUCUCUCACUAUUUUCUUUAUGGCCCUACAAUCUAACAUAAGUUGGGAAAAAC